UACGUAGGUGGCAAGCGUUUGUCCGGAUUUAUUGGGCGUAAAGGGCGCGUAGGCGGCGGGGUAAGUCGGGUGUGAAAUCUCAGGGCUCAACCCUGAAACUGCACUUGAUACUGCUCUGCUUGAGGACUGGAGAGGAGACUGGAAUUCACGGUGUAGCAGUGAAAUGCGUAGAUAUCGUGAGGAAGACCAGUGGCGAAGGCGGGUCUCUGGGACGGUACUGACGCUGAGACGCGAAAGCGUGGGGAGCGAACAGG
rnacentral:rRNA from 1 species